UAGGGGAAUUUUCGUUCAAUGGGGGCAACCCGUGAACGAGCAAUGCCGCGUGAGCGAAGAAGGUCUUCGGAUUGUAAAGCUCUGUUGCCGGGGAAAAAGGAAGGAAAAGAGGAAAUGCUUUUCUUUU
rnacentral:rRNA from 1 species